GACGAACGCUGGCGGCAUGCCUAACACAUGCAAGUCGAACGAAGUCUUCGGACUUAGUGGCGCACGGGUGCGUAACGCGUGGGAAUCUGCCCUUGGGUACGGAAUAACUCAGAGAAAUUUGUGCUAAUACCGUAUAAUGUCUUCGGACCAAAGAUUUAUCGCCCAAGGAUGAGCCCGCGUAAGAUUAGCUAGUUGGUGGGGUAAAAGCCUACCAAGGCGACGAUCUUUAGCUGGUCUGAGAGGAUGAUCAGCCACACUGGGACUGAGACACGGCCCAGACUCCUACGGGAGGCAGCAGUGGGGAAUAUUGGACAAUGGGCGAAAGCCUGAUCCAGCAAUGCCGCGUGAGUGAUGAAGGCCCUAGGGUUGUAAAGCUCUUUUACCCGGGAUGAUAAUGACAGUACCGGGAGAAUAAGCUCCGGCUAACUCCGUGCCAGCCGCCGCCGUAACAC
rnacentral:rRNA from 1 species